UGACUUUAUUUCGAUACUCGCUUCAUUGGGUGGUCUGGACCCGAGCCCGCACUAUCUCCGAGGUCCGCCUGGACUGUAAUUGUUUAAAAACAUUUUUGUUCUUUGCAGUGCAACUCUUCUAAAAUACAAUCUUAUGUGGAAUCCCAGAUACACGAAGUGAAUUCAGGAUUCACACUGUGGGCGUGCACGUGUGGCAAGUCUUCCUCACAGCAGAGUCACUAGCAGCCCAAGGUGACGGCCCUUCUGUUCAGCUCCGGGUCUGAGGGUUGAAGACGCCAAACCCCGCUGGUUGAAGAUUCGCGUGUGUCACAGCUCCAUAAGCACAGACGCACCGGUGCAGUCCUGGGGACUCGCAUAUGCGCCUGAAACUGACCUUUGCUGAGGCAUCUAUUUCAAAGACAUCCAUUCGAAUAAACCCACGGCAGCUGCGGACAUAGCUACUGGCUACCAUCAGGAAAAUACUGUUGGAUGAAGAAAGCUUUACAAGCAACCAGGGGUGGGAAGGCGUAUUACAGACAAGUAAAACAUAAGACGCGCACCAAAAGACGACAGAACAGCACCAGUAAAGCGCCAAAGAAGAAGUGACAGCCCGGAGUUCUGUAUCCAACGAAAACACCCCUCACAGGUGAAGGCAAAUGAAGACAGUUACAUUUGCUAAAUGUACAAAUGACAUUUACGAAACGGCACGGCCAGAAAUGCUACACGACAAGAAAUGCUAAAAGUUCUCCAAGAGAAAGGAAAAUGACAACAGACAGAAACUCAGAUCUACAAAAAGGAUGAAGACUGUCAGAAAGGUAAAAAUAUGGGUAAACGUAAGAGAAUUUUUUGCUUGUUUUAAUUUCUUGAAAAUAUAGAUUGACUGCUUAAAGCAAUAACAACAGUGUAUUACAGGAUUUAUGAUACAUGGAGAAGCAGGAUGCAUGACUGUGACAGCACAAAAGAUGGGAAGGGGAAUGGAGUUACACUGUCGUAAGGUUUCUACACUAUACAGGAAGUACUGCAACACUGAAGGCAGUGAGUGAUAAGUUAAAGCCCACAUCAAUUACUGUUUAAAAAAAUAAAAGACCAAAGAGGGUUAGCUAGUAAGCAAUCAUAAAAAUACUCCAUUAAUCCAGAAGGAGGCAGGAAAAGAAAAAAAAAUGAAAGAACAAAUGGGACAAAUGGAAAACACAUGGCCACAAAUGUAUGGACACCAAGGGGGGAAGUGGUGGUGGGAUGAACUGGGAGGUUGGGAUUGACAUGUAUACACUAAUAUGUAUUAAAUGGAAACUAAUAAGAACCUGCUGUAUAAAAAAAUAAAAUAAAAUUCAAAAAAAAAAACGUAAAAAAAAAGAACACACAUGGCCAGUUGGUAGACUUAAACCAGCUGCGUCUAUAAUUAAGGAGAAGUGGUCUAAGCCAGCUGUCCAACAGGACCUUCCAUGACAAGGCUGAGCUGCCAACUGGAGCCACCAGCCACAUGCCGUCACUGAGCACCUGCACGUGACGCAUGCAACCGAGGAAGGAACUUUUUAAUUUUAUUUCAUUUUAACUAAUUUAAAUUUAAAUAGCCACGUGUGGCUAGUGGCCACCAUACUAGACAGUGUAGGUCUAAACUUUUCAAUUAAAAGGAAAUUGUCAGACUGGAUAAAAGAGCAAGACCCAAAUAUAUGCUGUCGAUACAGUAACCAACUGCUGAUGGUAAAAUUCAUAUGGGAAGGCAUAAGACUUAGAACAGCUAGAAUGACUGUACAAAAGAACAAGCUGAAGGACUUACAGUAUCUAAUCUGAGGCUACAAUCACCAAGGAGUGUGGUAUUGUGACAAUCUAUUAUUUAUCUAUUUGUCUACUUAAUCAAAGUUAAAAACUUAGAGUUAUCAAGGAAUAUGCAAGUCACAGACUGGGAGAAAAUAGUAUAUAUAUGACAAAGCACUUGUAUUCAGAAUACAUAAAGAAUUUUGUAAGAUUCAAUAACAAGACAACCCACUUAAAAAAAAAUGGGUAAAACACUUGAACAGACACUUCACAAAAAAGAUAACAAAACAGCCAAUGAGCACAUGAAAGAGUGCGCAACAUUAUUAACAGGUAUCAGGAAAAUGUGAAGCACAACUACAAUAAGAUACCCCUGAACAGCCACUAAAAUGGCAAAAAUUUAAAAGGCUGAUAACAUCAAGCGUUGGAGAUGAUGAACAAAGAUGGGAACUCUGAUAAGUUCGCUGCUGCACAUGCAAAAUGGCACAGCCGCUCUGGAAGGCGGGCAGUGGUUUCUUAUAAAGUUAAGUACACAUAACCACACAGCCAAAAGACCCCGCUUGCCAGCACCCAAGAUAGAGCACCCAUCCACACAAGGACUGACGCACAGAUGGUCGUAGCAGCUUUCCUCCAAACAGUCAGAAGUGGCAAGAAACAAGCGAAGGCCCAACAACUGGCAAAUGGAUAAACAAGUUGUAGUGAAUCCACACGAUGGAAUCUUGAACGACUGACACAUUCCACACGUGGAGAAAUCUCAAAUGCUAAGUAUCUAAACAGUGAUUUAUUCACUGUGAUUUCAGUUUCAGAAAGAAAAAAUCUUUUCCUAUAUUCUCAUAUAUAUAUGAACAUGGAUGAAGAUGUCUCAAAGGGUAGUGACAGACUGUUGGGAGUGGACCUGGAGGUGUAGGUGAGAAAGACGAGCUUGUCACUGUAUAUGGUGAGAGAGUUCCCACGAGGACCCCAAGACUGCUGGCACCAGUGUACCCACACCUUCUGGUUAUUCAAACGCUAAUCUAGGUGCUGCGGUGAAGGGGUUUGACAGAUGUCAUUACGGUCCCAAAUCAGUUAACCUUAGAAAGGGAGAUUAUCCAGGGUGGACCCUUAAAAGGGACAGAGGACUUCCGAGUGGAAGGGAUUUGAAGCAUGAAGGGGCCUUGCCUUUCCAGUUCCCCUUGCUGUAUGGGUCGCAAGGACCUAAGAAUGAUCUCCAGAAGCUGGCAGCAACCGACCAGCAAAGAACAGAACUCUGCCGACA